UACGUAGGGUGCAAGCGUUAAUCGGAAUUACUGGGCGUAAAGCGUGCGCAGGCGGUUGUGCAAGACCGAUGUGAAAUCCCCGGGCUUAACCUGGGAAUGGCAUUGGUGACUGCACGGCUAGAGUGUGUCAGAGGGGGGUAGAAUUCCACGUGUAGCAGUGAAAUGCGUAGAGAUGUGGAGGAAUACCGAUGGCGAAGGCAGCCCCCUGGGCUAACACUGACGCUCAGGCACGAAAGCGUGGGGAGCAAACAGG
rnacentral:rRNA from 1 species